AAAAUUUUUGGCCCCAAGCCCACGUAUUCGCUCUCAUUCGCCAUUUUCGUCUCUCAAAUCCCAUCUCUUUCUCCAUUUCUCUCACGCCGAGCUCUUCGCUCAAAAUCUUCAAGACCCAGUUCUUCUUUUCACUCCUCCACCCCUUAAAUUCAAUCCCUCCAUUUCAAUUUUCUCCCCUUUCCUCUACUUCUAACCCAAUUCCCAACACUAUCUCAGCUCAAUUACACAAUCCCUAGUUUCCAUUUCCAACCCUUUUUUUGCAAAAUGGAUUCCUCUACUUUCUGUGCUUAGUCGAACAAGACCCACCUCUGAUUUCACGUUUCUUCCAUCCCCUGUUAAUCGCAAUCUGUGUUGGGGGUGGGAUUUGAUCUGAAUUGAUGAUUCUUUUCGAAGAGGAAAGUGGUAUUUCUUCAAGAAUCAAGCAAAAUGAAGGGAUAUGCAUGGGUCUGGAGGUGAGAGGUGGAAACAGAGGCGGCACAUGUGGCCGGUCCAUUCUAAUUCGACAGCUGUAGAUUGCGAAUUAUCCGCUCCAGAUUUCUUUCUCAAAGAUGGGCGUAAAAUCCAAGUUGGUGAUUGUGCUCUUUUUAAGCCACCUCUAGAUUCUCCUCCUUUUAUUGGAAUUAUACGUUCACUUAAGUCGGACAAGGAGGCUAAUUUAAGGUUAGAUGUGAAUUGGCUUUACCGGCCUGCUGAUGUAAAACUUCCCAAAGGAAUAUCGUUAGAUGCUGCGCCAAAUGAGAUCUUCUACUCAUUUCAUAAAGAUGAGAUUCCUGCCGCAUCAUUGCUCCAUCCAUGUAAAGUUGCAUUCCUCCGCAAAGGUGUUGAACUUCCAUCGAGCAUUUCCUCAUUUGUGUGCAGAAGAGUGUAUGAUACUGAUAACAAGUGUUUAUGGUGGUUAACUGAUAGAGAUUAUAUUAAUGAACGUCAAGAAGAAGUAGAUCAACUAUUAGAAAAGACAAGGCUAGAAAUGCAUGGGGUGAUGCAGUCUGGAGGCCGUUCACCAAAGCCCUUGAAUGAUUCAGUCCCAGUUGUGCAGCCAAAAUCUGGUUCAGAAAGUGUACCAAAUAGUUCCCUUCUCACUUCACACAUUAAAAGCAAGAAAAGGGAACGGGGUGAUCAGGGGUCUGAACCCACUAAGAGAGAGCGGUUAUUUAAAGCAGAAGAUGGGGAAUUUAGUCAGUUUAGAUCAGAAAGUAUGCUAAAGAAUGAGAUUACAAAAAUUACUGAUAAAGGAGGACUUAUUGACUUUGAGGGGGUUGAAAAAUUUGUCAAACUUAUGCAACCUAACAGUUCUGGUAAGAAAAUAGAUUUGGCUGACCGAAUGAUGCUUGCCGAUGUUAUAGCAGUCACUGAUAGGAUUGAUUGUCUAGAAUGGUUUUUGCAGCUCAGGGGUUUGCCUGUACUAGAUGAAUGGCUUCAAGAAGUUCAUAAGGGAAAAAUUUGUUAUGCCAAUGGCACAAAAGGAAGUGAUAAAACUGUCGAGGAUUUUCUUUUGGCUCUACUUCGUGCUCUGGAUAAACUUCCCGUGAAUCUCGAUGCUCUUCAGACUUGUUACGUUGGCAAGUCUGUGAAUCAUUUACGUACACAUAAGAAUUCUGAAAUUCAGAAGAAAGCAAGGGUUUUGGUAGAUACUUGGAAGAAACGUGUGGAAGCUGAGAUGGAUGUUAAUGAUGCAAAGUCUGAAUCAAGUCGUGGUGUCUCAUGGCCUUCUAAAUGCGAGCCUUUGGAAGUUUCUCAAGUAGGGUGCAGAAAGGCUGGGGGAUCUGGUGAUGAUGGUUUAAAAAGCUCUACACAUUCUAACAUGUUUAAACAUUCUCAACCUAAGUUCAGUCCCACUGAAAUGGUUGUCAAAUCAUCUGUAUCGUCAAGCACCAUAAAGGUUUCUUCAACCAUGGGUGUGUCAUCAAAGGAUUAUAACUUCAAAACACUAGCUGGAAACUCAGAUCUUCCCUUGACUCCGAUUAAGGAGGAAAGGAGCAGCAGUUCCAGUCAGUCCCUAAACAACAGUCAAUCAAGUGAUCAUGCAAAAACUGUGGCAUCUUCAUGCAAAGAAGACACUAGGAGCUCAAAUUCUGGUUCAGGAAGCGUUAGCAAAGUUUCUAGUGGUGCUUCUUUUCAUCGGAAAUCGAGCAAUGGCAUUCAUUUGAAUACUCUCACAGGAACACAGAAAGCAUCUGGUUCUGGAAAACAUAAUGCCGUAAGUAAGGUCUUGACUACUGACAAGGCCUCUACUACAUCACGUGAGAAAUCUCCAGACGCCUCUCUUGUUGAACAUGGGUAUGGUCGAUUUGUUGUAAAGUUACCAAAUACCUGUAGGAAUCCUAUGGGGACUUCUAGGGCUGUCACCGAAGAUCAAGUUGUUUCAAGUCCCAAAGGAUCUCUUCAUGAUGAGGCUGGUGAUAACCAUGAUAAGAAAGCUAAUGACAGAUGUGAAUUGCUUGGGGCUAGUUUUGGAACUGAAGCAAACUCAAACCAAUGCCAUAAGAAAGAUCAAUUUUUCAUCUCAGAGGGCAAAGAGAUAGCUGCCUGCGAUGAACAAUCCAGACUUGCCGAAGCCAAUGAGCUGGAACCUGAAACUAUUGCCUCAUCGACUAGAAUUAUAUCUAGGCCUGGAAAAACUUAUGAUGCUUCUCUAAGCUCCAUAAAUGCGUUGAUUGAAAGCUGCGCGAAAUUUUCUGAGACUAAUACAGCAUCAUCACCAGGGGAUGCUGUAGGGAUGAAUCUUCUUGCUAGCGUGGCUACUGGCGAAAUAUCUAAAUCUAACAAUGCAUCUCCACUGGAUUCUCCCCAGGAACGAUCACCUUUGGCAGAGGAAUCUUCUGCUGCCAAUGAUGGACAAUUGAAAAUUUUGCCUGAAGGAAUAGCCAAGCAUAAAUGCGAUGAAGCUGAUGCUAAUGGCGAGUCUACGGGCUGCACAUCUUCUGAGCCUCUUGGCAGCAAUAAUUUGUUGCAGGAUAGAAAUGUGACCUCAGCUGACUACUCCAGAGAUGGAAGAGGUAUUGCAUUGGGCACUUCAAGGGACUGUAAUAUGCCAUCAAAUGUGCAGCAACACAUGGAAAAGACACCUUUGAAGUCUGAUAUAAAACCUGAUGCUGAAGCAUGCAAUGCCUCUGUAGCUGCCUGUUCUUCAUAUGGUGCAGAAGAAGGUGAUACAGAGAUCGAGGAAAAAGUGGAGGGUGAUAGCUUACCCAGCUCCUUAAUGGAAGAGGGUACCCAACUCCAUGAAAAUGAAAAAAUUGAUCAAACUGAUGAGAGAGCGGAAGAAAAUGGAGUGAUUUUGAAAUCAGAAGUUACUGCCACAACACUUGAAGUGGAAAAGCAAGUGGAUGAAAAGACAUCUUGUUUAUCUUCACAGUUGAGUGGCAGCGCUAUUCAGACUCGUGGGGAUUUAACUAAAGGCUGUCGAGUUGAAGAGAAACUGUCAUCUACACCUGAGAUUCAUGCAGAUUCUCGGGAGGAAAAGGUUGAGAUUGCUGUGGUACUUCCUGUAGGCAAUUCUUUGGAUGCAGAAUUCAAGGAUAAAAAAGAAGAUAUUGUGAAUUCAGAAGUUCAUGUUAAUCAGAUUGGGAAUCAAACACCGAUUCUGGGUCCUCCUAUGUCCGAUCAGAAAGAUGAUUGUGCUGCGCAGGAUUUGGGAAAAACAGACAACAUCAAUAAUUGUUGUGGUGCGGUUUCUAUGCACUUGGAAUCUCCCGCCAUCAUACCCUUGCCAGAAAGUGAUCAGGGUGAAAAAUUAAGUACAAAUACUGAGUUAAUUGGAACCGAAGACCACUUCACCAGUGCUAAUCCUUCACUUUCUGCUGCAAGGUCAGAUACAGUGAUAAAGCUGGACUUCGAUUUAAAUGAAGGUUGUGUUGACGAUGGGAUACCUGAGGAGACUAAUGGAAAUUCAUCUGCUGUUCAGAUGCCUAUUCUCCCACCUUUUCCCAUCCCUUCAGUAUCAGAAAGUUUCCCCAUUUCAAUUACUGUGGCUUCUGCAGCAAAAGGAUCAGUUGUUCCACCAGAAAACUCCCUAGCAAACAAAGUUGAACUUGGAUGGAAGGGUUCAGCUGCUACAAGUGCUUUUCGUCGUGCAGAACCACGAAAAAAUCUUGAAAUGCCACUCAGUUUGAGUGAUGCAUCUCUUGUUACCACCACUAGCAAGGAGGGGCGCCCACCCUUGGACUUUGACCUGAAUGUGCCAGACCAGAGACUCCUAGAAGAAGUUUCUUUGUCCAUUGCACCGCUGAAAGCAAGUCUUGAAUCAGGACCACGUGAUCGAGGUGGUGGACUUGAUCUCGAUUUGAAUAAAGUUGAUGAAAGUAAUGAUAUGGGCCCAUGUUCUGUGAGCAAGAGUAGGUUGGAACUCCCCAUGUCAAGUAGGCCAUACGUUCCUGGUGGAUUAGGCAAUGGUGGAUUCAGUGCCUCCAGAAACUUCGAUUUGAACAAUGGACCAUCCCUUGAUGAAAUGGGGGCUGAAACAGUACCUCCUAGUCAGCAGAAUAAAAGUUACAUGGCAUUUCCAUCACUUCUCCCUGGGGUGAAGGUGAACUCCGGAGAAAUUGGGAACUUCUAUUCUUGGUAUCCUCAGGGGAAUUCGUAUUCGGCAGUAACAACAAUCCCAUCAGUUUUGCCAGGUAGAGGAGAACAAAGUUAUGUUCCUGCUGCUGUUUCUCAGAGAGUAUUUGCUCCCCCGGCUGGCACCGGCUUUGCUGCUGAACUUUAUCAUGCACCAGUAUUUUCUUCCUCUCCUGCUUUGGCAUUUCCACCUACUAACUCCUUUAGUUAUUCUAGGUUCCCUUUUGAAACUAGUUUUCCUCUACAAUCAAACACUUUUUCAGGUUGUUCAACGUCUGACAUGGAAUCAUCCUCUGGUUGUUCGCUUGGAUUCCCUACCAUAACUUCUCAUUUAUUAGGACCUGCUGGGGUAGUCCCUACUCCUUAUCCAAGGCCCUUCAUUAUGAGCUAUCCAAGUGGCAGUGGUACUGUUGGUCCUGAGAUUGGAAAAUGGGGAAGCCAGGGUUUGGAUCUUAAUGCCGGUCAUGGGAUUAUAGAUAAAGAAAGAAUGGAUGAGAAGUUGCCUUUAGCCUUGAGACAACUUUCAGUUCCCAGUCCGCAAACUUUUGCCGAUGAGCAGCUAAAGAUGUUUCAGAUAGGUAGUCACAAGAGAAAAGAACCCGACAGUGGCUUAGAUGCUGCUGACAGGCUAAACUACAAGCAACAAUGAGUGAGGGUGGUAGCAUUUCAUCGUGGUCACAGUCACAAGCCAAAAAAUUAGAAACCGAGAAAAAGAACACAGUAUAGAUGCAUCGUUGAGCAAAUAAUCAAGGACUGUUUAUGAUGGGGCUCGAGUUCCCUUUCAAAUGUUGUAGCGACAUCACGGGUUUUCAGGCAGCCGUUUCCCCCCCCCCUGCUGGACACAUUUUGACAGAUUUGUUUCACUCAAGCAGACAAGGUUUCAUUUGUAAAUAUCUAACUUAAUAGAAGCAUAAGGAAGUUGCUAUCUAGAAACCUGAUGAAUGGUGUCCUCCGACAUGUGGACGAUUUCCAUCCAUUCAGGUAUGCUUUCGAGCCAAUCCUUUCUCUCAAUCCUUUGGAAACAGAACUGAAUGUAAUGACUUACCGAGUUGUGGCCGUCUUUCUCAACGAUGCUCAGCUGUGUUUUCCCUUACACAUGUAGCCAUUACUUCAUUCUUACUGUUAGAUUCUUUUUUAUUGAUAGUAAUACACAGGCCCCCUUUCUCUCAUGGUCGUGAACUGUUUUUUCUCACUCAGUUUUUCCAUUCCACCUUUACAAACCGGAAACAGGAUCCCACCCCAACUUGAAGCCAUCAUUUUAUUUGGUCUUAUCUGUGACUUCUGGAGCUAUCAAUUCAUCUGUUACAAACUAGUUUUUAAUCUUUUGUGAAGAACGAUGCCCCACCUAGAAGAAGACAGCUUCAGAUAUUUACAAAAGUUCUACACUGUCUGAAUUUUGUACAUUGCUAAUCUUGAUGUUUCACUUGUCAAUGACAUUCCAAGGUUUAUAACAUAUAUAUAUAUUCUAUGUUGCUUGUGAA